UUCUUAAGGACCUUGUAAUUUUUGUUUUGUUUUUGGUAACCACUGAGCCACGUUCCCAGCCCUUUUUUAUAUUUUAUUUAGAAACAGGAUUUUUGUUUGUUUGUUUUUUGUUUUGGUACCAGGGAUUGAACUCAGGGGUACUCAACAUCCCAAGUCCAAUUUUGUAUUUUAUUAUCCAGUUAGAAUGGAAAUCAUCAAGAAUACAAAUGGUAAGCCAGGUGCAGUGGAGAACGCCUGUAAUCCUAGUGGUUUGGAAGUCUGAGAAAGGAGGAUUGUGAGUUCAAAGCCAGCCUCAGCAAGGUCAAGGCACUAAGCAACUCAGUGAGACCCUGUCUCUAAAUAAAAUACAAAAAUAAGGCUGGGAAUGUGGCUCAGUGGCCAUGUGCCCCUAAAUUCAAUCCCUGGUACCAAAAAAAAAAAAAAAAAAAAAAAGGACUAGGGAUAACUCGCUGGUAAAGUACCCCUGGGUUCAAUCCCCAGUAUUGCAAAAUAAUAAUAGUAAUAAUACUACUCUUGCAUUUCUUAUCAAUAUCAAACAGCAUAUUUUUUUCAGAAAUGGAAAAGGUGAUUUUAAAGUUCAUAUGGAAAUGCAUGGUAUCCUGAAUGCCUAAAACAAUUUUGAAAAGAAGUUGGAAGUCUCACUCUUCCUGAUCUCAAAAUUUACUAUGAAGAAUAAUCAAAAGAAGGCGGUGUUGACAUUGUAAUAGAAUUGAGGGUCCAGAAGUAUUCUUUUCAACAAAUAAUGCUGCUUAAAAAGAGAGGUAAAGGCCAAAGAAUGAAUUCAGACCUCUUUGUUACACCAUUACACACCAUUUACAGAAAUCAGCUCCAAAAGAGAGCAAAGGCCUAAUAUACAACAUAAAGCUGUAAAACUCUGAGAAGGAAGUAGAUAUAAAUAUGCAUGACCUUGGCAUUAGUCAACAGUUGUUAAAUAUGACACCAAAAGCAUAGGUAGUAAAAGACAGAAAGAAAUAAAGAUGUCUUGUUUGUGCUAGUUUGCUAGGUAUGUUGUAACAAAUUAUCAGUCUAUGUGGUACAAAGAAAAGGAAGUUUGUUUUUUGUUUUUGUUUUGUACAGUUCUGGAAUCUGAAAGUCCAAGAUUAAUGUUUUGGAAAGACGGGUUUCUUCUAAAGCUCCUCUCCUUGUCUUACAGAUGGCCUGCUUUUUAUUUCCUCUUUACAUGGUCUUUUCUCUGCCAGGAGAAUGUGUUCCUGAAAUUUCUCUGUCCAACUUUCCUCCACUUCUCAGGACACCAUCCAGAUUGGAUUAGGGCUCUCCCUAAUGACCUCAUUUUUUAUUUUAAUCACCUCAUUAAAGGUCCUCCUUCAAAUAUAGUCUUAUUGUAAAGAGGCUGGCUUUGAACUUGAGAUCCUCCUGGCUCCCAAGCCUCUGGGAUUACAGCCAUGUGUCACCGCAUAUAGCAGGAGAAAAUAUUAUAAAGAUAUAAUUACCUACAUUGACAUCUAAAGGUAUGGAAGGGUAGGUGUGUAUGAUGCCAGUAAAGAUUGAGCCAGCAUGGUGGUGCAUGUCUGUGAACCCCGAAACCCUGAAGGCUGCAGCAGGAGGGUUUAAAAUUCUAGUUCAGCAUGAGCAACUGAGGGAGACCCUGUAUCCUCAGUCAUAAAGAAGAAUCGAAAUUAUGGAAUUUGCUGGUAAAUGGAUGAAAUUGGACAACAUCAUGCUAAGAGUAAUAAGGCAGCCUCAGAAAUUUCAGGGUAUAGAAGUUUAGGAUUGUACAUUUGUACAGAGUGCAUGGAUCAUGGACUAUGUAAUGAGUUCAGGAAGAAAAGCCAGGUGAAGAUUUUGGCAUAGGGGUGAAGACUUCUUCAGCACACAAAGUCACAUCAUCUCCAUUGAUUCAAGAAGACCAAAUUGGCCUGUCAAAUGAGAAAACAGACACUAGCAUCAAGUCCUUCUUAAUUAGCUAGAUCUCAAGAAGAGAGGACAUGCCACCCAGUGAGGGAGCAGAUGGGCAAGCACUAAGGUCAUCCACAACUUGAAUGGAGAGGCAAGAGCUUUUAUUGUCAUCUGGAAGGAAAGGAAUGGGCAAAGCCGAUAUUUCAGAUAAAUCAUCAUAGAAGAGAGAACCCUUAAUGUGACAUAGCUUUUCUGAUGCUGCAACUAAAAGAACCCGACAUGAACAACUGUAGAAGAGGAAAAGGCUCAAUGCAUAGAAGGCUGGCUCUACUCCUUGGGGCUCGAGAUGAGGCAGAACAUCAUGGCAGAAGAGUGUGGCAGAGGGAAGCAGCUCACAUCAUGAUCAUUUCUAUUUCUGAAUGGAAAGGGGAAUAGCAAGAUGGAGAAGGGACCUGGUGACCCUGGGCAGCAGCCUUUCCUUGAGACAUCUCCCCCACCAGCAAGACCUCAACUUCCUCAACUUUUAAGGUAGGAAUCCACAGCAACAAACAGCAUUUGCAGCCACAGUGCAGUCAUGCAGCAGCAGCAGCAGCAGCAGCAGCAGCAGCCUGGCAGCAUACCACAGCCUCCUGGGGCACGCCUGCACUAUCAGUGAGCCAUGAGGAGUCUAACAGCCUAUCAUCCUGUCAACAGGUUGAUUGGCAUCUUGGCAGAUCACACCCAUCUCUGAGAAGCUGUGUGGCUACAGCAGGUCACCCCAUCUCUGGAGCUCUGUGGGACCUGGCAGAGCUGAAUAGGACUCACAUCUAUCUGGGCAAUCUUACCAGCGGGAUUGCCACUAAGGAACACCAACCGCCCCAACACCAACCACCAACCACCGAACACCAACCGCCAGAGGCCGCUAACAGUUCUACCUUCUAGGGCUUCGCUCACCUUCCAGAACGGUUCCGUCUUUGUUGGCGAGACAAGGCUUCCUCAUGAGGUUGGUUUGUCUUCAUGGUUGAGGAAAAAAAGCUGAGGAAAGAGGAGGAACUUGAUAUGUCUAGGUAGUAGCUGUUCCCUGGGACUACCUGACACCUUAGAAAGCUUCCUAGGUCAUCAUUUUUUGCACAAGAGUGCUGCAGCAAGACCACAGAGAUGUGAGAUCCCAGGGCCACUGUUGCCAGCAGAGUGCCCUUAUCCCCCAGUGAAUGGGGCACCCUUCUUGUCGGCCUGAAAAAUGCGUCCUCAGGAUUUGGAGGAUAACACCCAGACAGGGAAACGUGCCAUUGUUCCUGCUACUAAAUAUUGUUUCAUUUUCUUUGUGCUACAUAUUUUUGACAUAUGAAAGUUUGUCUCCAUUGUGAAUUUUUUUCCAGUUAGGGAUACCUGGCACAGCUUUGAUUAGGGAGGGAAAUUUUGACUCUGCUUCGGGAUGGAGUGAAAUGAUUCUCUCAACCCAAGGUAGAAGGCCUCAAAUGUAUCUAGCAGUGGCACGUUGAGUGUGAAACAUGUCACAGUAGAAGAAUGUCUUGUAAGAAAAGUCCGCGGAGUUCCCAGUCAGAAUGGGGGACUCUACUCAGGACCAGAGAGAGGGGUUCUUGGCCUAUGGAAUGCGAAAUUAUUUCUUCUGGCAGAACUCUGAUUACGGGCGGCAAUCCUUCCAAAGUGUGCUUUGGAGUGAUGAUACGCUCCACUUGGCCUUCUAUGUGGAGUUCCAGAAGUUACCUUUUUUGUCACUGUUACCAAAACACCCAACAAGAACGACUUAGAGAAGGAAAAAUUUACUUGGAACUCAAAAUUUCAAAUGUCUAAUAAGUCCACAGAUAGCUGACUCCAUUACUCCUGGUUCCAGGUGAGGCAGUAUAUCAUGGUAAAAAUGGCACGAGCAGGAAAGUAGCUCAGAUUAUGGUGGGGUCAGGAAGGAGAGAGAGAAAAAGAGACCAAGGAGCCAUAGGGAAGCUAGACACUUCUAGGGUAAACCUCUGAUGCCUACACUUACCACUCAGUCUGUCCAUUCGAACUAGGAUGUACUCAUUAGGUCAUAGCUCUAAUAAUCCAAUCAUUUCACCUCCAAACUUUCCUGCAUCAACAGGAGUUUUAGAGGUACAUCUCAUCCAAAUCUUAACACUUUGUCAUAUAGUCAUGAAAUUUUUUAUCUUACUGUUCUAAAUAAUAAAUAUAAAGUGAGAUGUAUCAAAUGCAAAUGUUUUCACUAAAGCAUAAGCAUAUUAUAUAUCUAAUAUAUAAUAACUAUGCAAAAAAAUAUUGCAUAUUAAAUAUAUAUCAUUACUUUGUAUUAUUAGUAUUUUUUGGUGCCACGAAUUGAACACAGGGGUACUUAUUCACUAAUCCACAUCCCCAGUGCUUCUUAUUAUUCAUUUUUUUUGGGGGGUGGGGGUUUGUUUUGUCUUGUUGAUACCAGGGAUUGAACUCAGGGGCCCUCAACCACUGAGCUAUAUCCCAGCCCUAUAUUUUAUUUUAUUUAGAGACAGGGUCUCACUGAGUUGCUAAGUGCCUUGUCCUUGCUGAGGCUGGCUUUGAACUUGUGAUCCUCCUGCCUCAGCCUUGUCUCACACUGGGGUUUUGGGGGACACCUCACAUCCAAACCAUAACAUCCACCAAGAUAGCCACCAUGAAGGAGACAUCUGACAAGGAGGAGAGUUUGAUAGGGUGUGUCAGUCAGGGAAGGCAACACAGAAACACACACAGACACACACUUACCUGAAAUAACAAAUAGUUUUCUUUUAUGAUUUCAAUAUUUAAAUUUUAUAUCAUUUAAUUUGCAAAUAAUAACUUAAUGUAUUUAUAGGGUAUAAUAUAAUGUUUCAAUAUAUGAUACAUAUGAAUCACAGAGAGAACACAGCAGUGACUUCACAGGGUUAAAUGGAAUGCAGUAGUUGCCCAGGAUCUCUGUGAAAACCAGCAUGUGGGUAGCAGGACUGUGAGAGGGUCCUGAGUGUUAAGGCUAUUAUUGGGAUUAAGGACUCAUGCAAGAAGAUUCUCAGGGGGAGUUGUAAUUGGUGGAUUUCAAGCAAGCAGGUGUGAGCUCCGUGGUGGGCACCUAUGAUUGAGGGGUGCUCACUGUGGAAGAUCUGCACAGUCCAGCAGCCUGUGGAGGUCUAUUGAUUAGUCAAAUAGGUUGCAGAGAGCUGUUCCAUUGGGAAGUGAUCACUAGCAGGAGAUUGUAUAUAGAAUAUAUCUGAAUUGAUAACACCGAGGAUGUGUUAGGGAUAAUAAAGCCCUCCUUGUGGUAUGAGAAAUUGCAUGUUAUAUGUAACAGAGAUGCUGAGACAACAUAAAAUUAUAAAAUUCACUACAACUUACCUCAUGGUCUGUAGCAUUACUUUGCGUACUGGGGAUUGAAUCCAGGGAUUCUUAACCACUGAGCCACAUCCCCAGCCUUUUUUAAAUAUUUUAUCUAGAGACAGGGUCUUGGUGAGUUGCCUAGGAUCACACUAAAUUGCUGAGGCUGGCUUUGAACUCUUGAUCCCCCAGCCUAAGUGUUCCAAGCUGCUAGGAUUAUAGGAAUCUGCUACUGCACUGGGCUCACUAGCAUUAUUUUAAAAUGUAAAGCAGUUGUAGUUUGAGUGGUACACAUACUGACUGUAGAAAGACGGUGGUUGGCAGCUGAGAUAUGGAGAUGAAAACUGAGAGAUUGUGGGGAAAGCUGGAUGUGUAUAGCAGCAGGCCAAAGAAUCAGGGAGUGUGGGAUCCUGUCCCCAGCGACAAGGCACUUGAUGCAGGUGCCUCCUAAGGAAGUAAAUAAUCUCCUUUAACUUUUGUGACCUGUGCCUGUUUUUCUUCUAGGUAUAGAAGUUUAGGAUUGUACAUUUGUACAGAGUGCAUGGAUCAUGGACUAUGUAAUGAGUUCAGGAAGAAAAGCCAGGUGAAGAUUUUGGCAUAGGGGUGAAGACUUCUUCAGCACACAAAGUCACAUCAUCUCCAUUGAUUCAAGAAGACCAAAUUGGCCUGUCAAAUGAGAAAACAGACACUAGCAUCAAGUCCUUCUUAAUUAGCUAGGUGGAGGCUUCAUCUGGGAGAGGCAGGAUUGAGCCAACAGACCAGGCAGCCUGCGGAGUCUAAUGGGUCGCCUCCAUCAGGUCAUCCAUCCUGGGUGACAGGCUCACUGGUCCUUCACAGCCAGGGCCAGCCAUUGGCAAGGAGCUAUGGGGAUCUGCGAGGCUGCAUCCUGUCCCUGGCGUCCCAGCUCACCUGCUGGCCCUGGGGGGCCUCCAGAGGGCUCAGGAGAGCAGGCCACAUGUACUUUUAUAGUAAAUAGUAAACUGUUCAAUUUACUUGCUUUAAAGACAAGUAAUGGCUCUGGAGGCAGAGGCUUAAGGAUCAAGUUCAAAGCCAUCUUCAGCAACAGCCAAACAACUCAGCUAGGAUUUACCUCUAAAUAAAAUACAAAAUGGAGCUGGGGAUGUGUCUCUGUGCCCCUGAGUUCAAUCCCCAGAGACAAGUAAAAAGCAGGAAAAUCCAAAAUGACAGCCAAAUACUGAAAUUCUGGUAAACAGAAAUAAAACUUGAAGUCAUCAAGCUGCA